rnacentral:rRNA from 1 species
GAUGAACGCUAGCUACAGGCUUAACACAUGCAAGUCGAGGGGAAACGAUAUUGGAAGCUUGCUUCCGAUAGGCGUCGACCGGCGCACAGGUGAGUAACGCGUAUCCAACCUGCCUAUCACUUGGGGAUAACCUUGCGAAAGUAAGACUAAUACCCAAUGAUAUCCGUCGAAGACAUCUGAAGUGGAUUAAAGAUUUAUCGGUGAUGGAUGGGGAUGCGUCUGAUUAGCUUGUUGGCGGGGUAACGGCCCACCAAGGCGACGAUCAGUAGGGGUUCGGAGAGGAAGGUCCCCCACAUUGGAACGGAGACCCGGUCCAAACUCCUACGGGAGGCAGCGGUGAGAAAUAUUGGUCAAGGGACGAGAGUCUGAACAAGCCAAGUAGCGUGCAGGAUGACGGCCCUAUGGGUUGUAAACUGCUUUUAUAAGGGAAUAAAGUGAGUCUCGUGAGACUUUUUGCAUGUACCUUAUGAAUAAGGACCGGCUAAUUCCGUGCCAGCCGCCGCCGUAA